rnacentral:tRNA from 1 species
GGAGGGUACAGCUCAGUGGCAGAGUGUGUGCUUAGUAUGCACGAGGUCCCAGGUUCGAUCCCCAGCACCUCCA